UAUGGCCACAUCACGAUAAAACACAAGUUCCCAUAUGAUCACCAAAGUUAAGCAAUGCUGAGCCUGGUCAGCACCUAGAUGGGUGACCUCUUGGGAAUGCCAGGUGCUGUAAG